rnacentral:rRNA from 1 species
AGUCUGAUGGAGCAACGCCGCGUGAGUGAGGAAGGGUUUCGGCUCGUAAAGCUCCGUUGGUAGUGAAGAAAGAUAGAGGUAGUAACUGGCCUUUAUUUGACGGUAAUUACUUAGAAAGUCACGGCUAACUACGUGCCAGCAGCUGCGGUAAUACGUAGGUGGCAAGCGUUGUCCGGAUUUAUUGGGCGUAAAGCGAGUGCAGGCGGUUCAAUAAGUCUGAUGUGAAAGCCUUCGGCUCAACCGGAGAAUUGCAUCAGAAACUGUUGAACUUGAGUGCAGAAGAGGAGAGUGGAACUCCAUGUGUGGCGGUGGAAUGCGUAGAUAUAUGGAAGAACACCAGUGGCGAAGGCGGCUCUCUGGUCUGCAACUGACGCUGAGGCUCGAAAGCAUGGGUAGCGAACAGGAUUAGAUACCCUGGUAGUCCAUGCCGUAAACGAUGAGUGCUAAAGUGUUGGGAGGUUUCCGCCUCUCAGUGCUGCAGCUAACGCAUUAAGCACUCCGCCUGGGGAGUACGACCGCAAGGUUGAAACUCAAAGGAAUUGACGGGGGCCCGCACAAGCGGUGGAGCAUGUGGUUUAAUUCGAAGCAACGCGAAGAACCUUACCA